AACGAACGCUGGCGGCAGGCUUAACACAUGCAAGUCGAGCGCCCCGCAAGGGGAGCGGCAGACGGGUGAGUAACGCGUGGGAAUCUACCUUUUGCUACGGAAUAACUCAGGGAAACUUGUGCUAAUACCGUAUGUGUCCUUCGGGAGAAAGAUUUAUCGGCAAGAGAUGAGCCCGCGUUGGAUUAGCUAGUUGGUGAGGUAAUGGCUCACCAAGGCGACGAUCCAUAGCUGGUCUGAGAGGAUGAUCAGCCACAUUGGGACUGAGACACGGCCCAAACUCCUACGGGAGGCAGCAGUGGGGAAUAUUGGACAAUGGGCGCAAGCCUGAUCCAGCCAUGCCGCGUGAGUGAUGAAGGCCCUAGGGUUGUAAAGCUCUUUCACCGGUGAAGAUAAUGACGGUAACCGGAGAAGAAGCCCCGGCUAACUUCGUGCCAGCCGCCGCCGUAA
rnacentral:rRNA from 1 species